GAAGGCAGACACUCAACCGACUCAGCCAACCAGAGAAGCUUGGGAAUGACCGGAGAAGAAAGGCAUGAGGUGUGAAAUGGAGGUGCUGAGUGAAAACAGAUCCCAAGAAGAACUUGCUGUGGUGGUGACCGGAUUGAAGAGACAGGUGGAACCAGGAGGAUGGUGCUUAUGGAAAGGGGUCCUUGCUGUCAGCAACAGAACACUUUGGAUGACUCACUGGUUGGAUUCCCUAAG